rnacentral:lncRNA from 1 species
ACUGGUACUUGGAUCUACACCAAAAGGUACAGAAGUGCAGUAUGAGUACCAAAGCCAUGUGUGCUUAGUAGGCAUCAUUGGCUAACUGAGCUAAAUCAUAAUAUAAGAAUAAUAAAAUGCAAGAUAAAUAAACUAAGUCAAGGUAAGAGGUAAAAUCUAGAAUAAUGCUCCAUAUACUAUAAAUGAAUAACCAGAACAACAAUAAUAUGAGAAAGGAUAACUAUUACUACAAACUAUCCCCAUUAGCCAGUAAGUAUGGGAAAGUAAAUAACACAACAUAAGCCCCCAAAAUCCCGAAAGAUGCAAUCAAAAGAAAAAUAAUAACUGAAUUUAUACCAAAUAUCCAAAUCUUAAAAUCAUAACCAUGAAUCCUUCCAUACCAAAAUCAUAACCAUGAACCGGUUCUAUAACCAUCAUAAACAACCUCUCAAUAUCGGACUUGAAUCAAAACUCAUCUCAUUAUUUGUCGAACUUGAACCAAAACUCAAUAUCAUCAUUUAUCGAACUUGAACCAAAAUUAAUACCAUCACCCCAAGUAUCAAUAUAGAAUAAAACAUCUUAAAUCCAACCUUCUCAGCUCUAGAAUCUUUAUUUGGAAGAUGUAACAUGCCUAUAAAUUCUAUAAAGAGCUAGUAGUCUUGGCCUAAGAUGGGUCGGAAAGGCCCACUUCUAAUUCUCAAAAUUCAUUCUAAGGAAAAUCCUACCCUAGACUAGUCUAAGGUAUCUAAAUUCGCUACUAAAUAUUAAAUAAGUCAUAUUUAGUCCUAAGAUAGAAAAUUACCUAAAGAUAGACAAGCUAAGUCAAUUAGGGCAAAUUUACUGCUCCUUAAUCGGCGAAGACAUCCCAAUUACACAAAAUAUAUUUCCAAGACUUAAUUCCCAACCCAUAUCUAGCACAUCAUCGUAAAUAUACUACAAAUUAACCAAAUCUAUGAGAAAGAUAAACCUAGACUACUUGGACACCAAAGAAAGCGUGGUGAAUUCCGCUAAAUAAAUGAUUUCCUAUUUUGUGAAGCUUUUGCAUGAUACUAUGCUAUCAAAAUGAUAAUCUACUCAUCAAUACAAGAACAAUAGUACCCAUAUUGCACUUUUAUGCUUUGAGUCCAAAAUUAUGUAUAAUCCCAUGUAGGGCUUGCUUGUGGGAUCACACUUUUGAAACCAUAAACAUGUGCCUCUAUGAUCAAGAAAUAUUUUCCCUUAAGAACAGGUAAAUUUCAAGCUCAAAUGAUCUUAUAAUCCAAGUAAUGCUUAAGCGAACAGUAGGCCUCUUAAACGGUCGCUACUUAAGCAACCAAGUACUUCUUAAGCGGUACCCACCCAUGCCAGUGCCCUUCGCUUAAGUACUUUGGAUAUGAGUAAUUCCAAAAAAAAGGCUUUGUCCAGCAGUUGACAAAGAUCUUUCUAUCAAUAGAAAGAAAUGAGUUUUCGAUAUAGGGGAUAGGAUCUAUCCCCUAUAUUCUCACAAUUUUUUUGUGAGAAAUAUAUAUAUAUAUUUUUCUGUCAUUGAUUCUGAAGUCCAAUUUUUGGGUUCCCCGAAUGGAAUGGAUCAUUUCUGCAAGCGAAAUAAACACGGAGCCCAUUUCGAAUUCUUCUACAAUCCGAAAGUUCUCACAAAGAGAAUAAGAUGAUGCUCCCUUUGCCUCUUUCUUUUCCCACUUUGCUAAUUUUCUCCUCUAAUAUGGUGGUGUUGGGUGUGGGAGAAAGAAACCUAAGAUAAGACGCUCACCUCUUAGGUUUUUUUUCACUGCAACAUAGGAAAGCCCCCUUAUUUUUUCAUCCCUACAACUUUCCAGAUUUUGUAUUGAAUACAUGGCAUAGCUAGGAACCUUCACAUUAUGUUUGAGCCUAUGUUCAAGAAAAAACCAUACCCUAUUUACUAAGGCUGGAAAAAAUGUCCACCAAGUUUAGAUAGGGAAUGUUUUCCCCUACCAUUAAGUAAAGGCUCAACAAAAGGAGGGAGGUGAGGCAGGGGAAGGAAAACCUUUCAGAGAUCGAGAUUUUUUCAUUAAAAUCGAAGAAUAACGGCUGCUUAAGCGAAAGGGCCUCACUUAAGCAGCCCUCAGCGAGUCAAGCCUGGUCGCUUAAGUGACCGGCUAGCCUCUUAAGCGGCCUCUACUUAAGCGACCCAAGUGGCACUUAAGAGGAUUCAUCAGUUGAGUGGUGUAGUUGGGGACUUGGAGAAUUCCAAGUCUCUACCGACCCCUCGUUAUUCAUUUGAAAUCUCGUAAAUACAAACUAACUGUGCCACUCUAUCAAAUUUGAUGUUCAGAACUUAAUGACACAGUUGAAAUUUUCAUUUGAGGUUAUUUCAACAAAAAAUGGGUCCCACAACCAUAGGCCAGUUUUAUCAAUUUUUGGUCAAUAGCCCAGAAUGAGUUCGAAAUCCUUAGGACCCAAACCAAAGGUAAUCAAUGUUUUGGAGUUAUUGGAACUAUCAGAAUUAGCAUACGAGUUUGUUUGACUUAUUUUUUUUCCCAUAGCCAGUUUAUCAACUAAGACUUUAAAAUAGGAACUUGGCUCUAAAAACCAAAUAAACUGCCCGGUAAUCGAACUGUAAGCUCUAGCAAGUCAUAAAUGACUUGGGCAGCUGUAGGAAAGCUCUAAAUAGCGAAAAUAUAGAAAUUGACCUGGUGGGUCAUUACAUAAACCUACUUUUCAAAAUUGUCCAAGUUUAAAAGCUUCAAACCCUUCAAUGCUAACUUCACUCCUACACCCCCAAAUCAAAUCAAAUACAAGAUUUAGGCUCAAAAAAUACUAUGGAAUCAAUAUCUUGUAUUAAAAACAACAAACCAAAAGAAAAUGUUUUUCAGAUUUUUUUGAAAUUUUUGGAUGAUUUUUUAUAAAAUUUUUGAAGAGAUCAAAAUCUCAAGAUUUAGAUUUGUGAAAACAAACCUAAAACUAGUCUCUUGAUACCAAAAUAAUAAGAAAGAAAGAAAGAAAGAAAAUGAAGAAACGAAAUAUGUGGGUUAAUACCUAAGCUACUGAAAUUAUAGGUAACAAGAGAUUAAAACCCUCACCUCCCAAUUGAUUUCAACAACUCAAACACAAACCCUGACAUGAAAAAUCAAAGGAAACUAGAUCCACCUAUGGAAAAUCUUUGAUUAAUCAAGCUAAAUAAGUUCACCCAUAAUUCAAGGGUCAACUAAUAAGUACCCAGUUAUUACUCACUAAAUUAUUCACUAAAUUUCUUAAGGGAAUUUGUUAAGAGAAACUACAACUUUUCAAAGUUCAAAUCUACCAUGCCAACAAAAAAAAUCCUUUUUUUACUAAAGGAAUUAAGAAGGCAUUGGCUUUUCAUAAUAUUGCCCUUAAUUAGGAAAGAACCUUGUUUUGUUGUCUUCUUAUGGAUUCUUGAAUUUAAGAAGUAGUCACUUGCACAAAUGGUCCCUUCUCCUCCUCUUCUUCAUUUUUAUUGAUCUUCCACACAUUGUAUGUCUUCCUUUGACAUCCUUCAAACUCCUCCAAAGUUUUCUUCCUCACAAACAUUGCUUGUAGGUCUUGGGCCUCUUUUGCUUGACUACGGGUGAAUUGUAUUGAAGGGUAAUAUAUAAAUCCGUGCUAGUUUUGGGUUUAAGAUAACUUGAAUGAACAAAUCAAAAGAAAUUGUAAGAGAAUGAAUUUUGUUUCCAUUCCAAUCUGAUACUCUUUCUUAUGUUAGUAUCACUUCUCAAUCUAUGUAAAAUUUUAAGAAAGAACCUUGUGAAGUGGAUGACGGUACCUUAUUUAAAGAAGAAACUAACGAUGGCCAAGUUUUUAAAGUGUACAUUAACACAUUAUGGAAAGAAAUAAGAGAAAACUUUAAAGUAUUCUCUGAUGCCUUAUGGUUUGUGAGCAUUAAUGGAAAAGUUGUUAUUGAAGACAAUGAGACAAACAAAGCUUUUGAUACCAUAAAUAUUGAGAACACUAAGCUAAAUAAUGAGUGUAAUAUCCCA